CCUACGGGUGGCAGCAGUGAGGAAUAUUGGUCAAUGGGCUUACGCCUGAACCAGCCAAGUCGCGUGAGGGAAGACUGCCCUAUGGGUUGUAAACCUCUUUUGUCAGGGAGCAAUUGGCGCUCCGUGUAGCGUUAUCGAGAGUACCUGAAGAAAAAGCAUCGGCUAACUCCGUGCCAGCAGCCGCGGUAAUACGGAGGAUGCGAGCGUUAUCCGGAUUUAUUGGGUUUAAAGGGAGCGUAGGUGGAUUGUUAAGUCAGUUGUGAAAGUUUGCGGCUCAACCGUAAAAUUGCAGUUGAAACUGGCAGUCUUGAGUACAGUAGAGGUGGGCGGAAUUCGUGGUGUAGCGGUGAAAUGCUUAGAUAUCACGAAGAACUCCGAUUGCGAAGGCAGCAUACCGGCGCUCAACUGACGCUGAGGCACGAAAGCGUGGGGAUCGAACAGGAUUAGAUACCCUUGUAGUC
rnacentral:rRNA from 1 species